GGUAGAUUCAUUAGCUAAACAAAAAUACAUAAAUGGAAACGUUUUCUAGAUUUCAAACACUAGAUGUCAGUGUUGAAUAAAAAAUUGUGCUAACAUGUUUUUUGCUUUAUAGAAGUAAAACGGAAAUGAAUGGUAUUAAACCUGUACAAUUAUCACAUUAAUGUGGUUCUCUGAUUAAUUCUCAUGAAUUCUUAAAACCAACUCAGUCAUAUCUCUGAAUAUCUCCUGCACUUUAUUCUACAUGCAGUGGCAUCACGG